rnacentral:rRNA from 1 species
UUUGAAAUCUGGCGUCCUCAGGGCGUCCGAGUUGUAAUCUAUAGAGGCGUUUUCCGUGCCGGACCGUGUCCAAGUCCCUUGGAACAGGGUAUCAAAGAGGGUGACAAUCCCGUACUUGACACGAUGACCGGUGCUCUGUGAUACGUCUUCUACGAGUCGAGUUGUUUGGGAAUGCAGCUCAAAAUGGGUGGUGAGUUCCAUCUAAAGCUAAAUAUUGGCGAGAGACCGAUAGCGAACAAGUACCGUGAGGGAAAGAUGAAAAGCACUUUGGAAAGAGAGUUAAACAGUACGUGAAAUUGUUGAAAGGGAAACGAUUGAAGUCAGUCGUGACUGUUGGGCUCAGCCAGCUCUGCUGGUGUAUUCCCUUCAGUCGGGUCAACAUCAGUUUUGACCGGUGGAUAAUGGCAGCGGGAAUGUGGCACCCUCGGGUGUGUUAUAGCCCGUCGUCGCAUACAUCGGUUGAGACUGAGGAACGCAGCUCGCCUUUAUGGCCGGGGUUCGCCCACGUCCGAGCUUAGGAUGUUGACAUAAUGGCUUUAAACGACCCGUCUUGAAACACGGACCAA